AUUAUAAUUUAAUGUUGAUCGUGGAGAAUAAUUACAAGGAUCUCAAGACUUCAAACCCUAAACUCCCAAUCCUCAUAAUGCAGUGGGAUUGUGUCCCAAAUGUAGGCUAGAUAUGAUAUGGGUGUCGAGAGGGGCAUUCGCUCGGAAGGUUUGAGCGAGCCACAGAUUUUGAAGGCACUAGAAGACCUUGCCAAAGCAGGGACAUCCACCAAGGCCUAAACAAAUUGCUGCUGUUGAAUCCAAAGGUCUGAAAUAAGACUCGUACCUUUGUAGGAACUGUUUCCUUUUUAUGGUUGUCGGGUUCCCUCUGUUUUCAGCCAUCAUAACAGAUGUUGUAAGAUGAUGAUUGUUGAAAGUUUCAGUAUUUGUUGCCUUGCCUUUGAAGGGUA